rnacentral:rRNA from 1 species
GAUGAACGCUAGCUACAGGCUUAACACAUGCAAGUCGAGGGGAACGAUAUUGGAAGCUUGCUUCCGAUAGGCGUCGACCGGCGCACGGGUGAGUAACGCGUAUCCAACCUGCCCACCACUUGGGGAUAACCUUGCGAAAGUAAGACUAAUACCCAAUGACGUCUCUAGAAGACAUCUGAAAGAGAUUAAAGAUUUAUCGGUGAUGGAUGGGGAUGUGUCUGAUUAGUUUGUUGGCGGGGUAACGGCCCACCAAGGCGACGAUCAGUAGGGGUUCUGAGAGGAAGGUCCCCACAUUGGAACUGAGACACGGUCCAAACUCCUACGGGAGGCAGCAGUGAGGAAUAUUGGUCAAUGGGCGAGAGCCUGAACCAGCCAAGUAGCGUGCAGGAUGACGGCCCUAUGGGUUGUAAACUGCUUUUAUAAGGGAAUAAAGUGAGCCUCGUGAGGCUUUUUGCAUGUACCUUAUGAAUAAGGACCGGCUAAUUCCGUG